UACGGGGGGGGCAAGCGUUGUUCGGAAUUACUGGGCGUAAAGGGAGCGUAGGCGGGUUUUUAAGUCAGGUGUUUAAUCCCGGGGCCCAACCCCGGACAGGCACUUGAAACUGGGAAUCUUGAAUAGUGGAGAGGUCAGUGGAAUUGGGGGUGUAGCGGUGGAAUGCGUAGAGAUCCCCAAGAUCACCCGUUGCGAAGGCGGCUGACUGGACACAUAUUGACGCUGAGGCUCGAAAGCAUGGGGAGCAAACAGG
rnacentral:rRNA from 1 species